AGGAUUUUAGUUUAAAAAAACAUUUGAUUUGCAUUCAAAAGAUAUUAAUUAAAUUUAAUUAAUCUUA
rnacentral:tRNA from 1 species